rnacentral:rRNA from 1 species
UACGGAGGGAGCUAACGUUGUUCGGAAUUACUGGGCGUAAAGCGCACGUAGGCGGCUUUGUAAGUUAGAGGUGAAAGCCCAGAGCUCAACUCCGGAAUUGCCUUUAAGACUGCAUCGCUUGAAUCCAGGAGAGGUGAGUGGAAUUCCGAGUGUAGAGGUGAAAUUCGUAGAUAUUCGGAAGAACACCAGUGGCGAAGGCGGCUCACUGGACUGGUAUUGACGCUGAGGUGCGAAAGCCAGGGGAGCAAACGGG